GAGCACCCCUAAGCUAUGUUCGGCCUUUGUACUGAGAGAGGAAGUUGCAUCUUUGGGUGGACACAGCCUGUGGCUCCUGUUGUACAAAGGUAAAGACUUCCUUUGCACCAAGGGACGGGGUGGUGAGCAGAGCAGGCUGGAUUUCUCCAUCAGCCCUCCUCCUUGUGUAGUCAGUCAUUGUACACCCUGAACAACCUUCUCCGCAACCCCCAUUUCUCACUAUUCACUUUCAACACGCCUUAAAGGAUCCAGUCCUUCGCCAGCCCGGGAGGGGUCUCUGCCGGACUCGAUGGCUUCUCUGGCCUGUUUCCCUCAUGGGGGCGAUCUUGUAGCUUAUGCAAAGUCUAGUCUAUGGGAAUAGUAAAACCCCACGCUUCCCCAGUCUCAGAUCCUCUUCCAUGCACACCACAUGCUUGUCUGAGACCUGGAACCCGAAGCUGGAAGAGAGCAUGGUCAACUUUUUCUCCAUUUUUUCCACGUGCUGUUCUUCUCCUGCUUCUCAUUCACCAGUGGUUUUGAUCCUUGCAGGGCCAGGCCCAGGAGAAGAAUGGAUUGGAGAAGGGACACCAUGUUUCACAGCUGUGACAUUUGCCAUCGGGCCUCAGGACACCCAAUGGCAGAGGUCCUGGCAGGUGGUCCUGAGGAUCCUGCCAGGAAGAGAUGACUACUCCUUAGCAACUCUUGCUUUAUUACUGGCCUUGGGACAUCGUCAGCAUGGAGAUACUUUGACAUCCCACUGUAUGUGA
rnacentral:lncRNA from 1 species